AUACUCUGGUUUCUCUUCAGAUUGAAUAAAUCUUUCGCCUUUUACUAAAGAUUUCCGUAGAGAGGAACAAUCAUGAAUGUCAUAGAAUUUUUUGAUGUUUGGCGCUUGCUGGGCU